rnacentral:rRNA from 1 species
UACGUAGGGGGCAAGCGUUGUCCGGAAUCAUUGGGCGUAAAGCGCGUGUAGGCGGUCCGGAAAGUCUGGUGUGAAAACUUGAGGCUCAACCUCAAGCCUGCACUGGAUACUGUCGGACUUGAGUCUGGAAGAGGAGAGUGGAAUUCCUGGUGUAGCGGUGGAAUGCGCAGAUAUCAGGAGGAACACCAAUGGCGAAGGCAGCUCUCUGGUACAUGACUGACGCUGAGACGCGAAAGCGUGGGUAGCAAACAGG